rnacentral:tRNA from 1 species
GAGAGUGUAGCUCACUGGCAGAGCACAUGCUUAGCAUGCACCAGGUCCUGGGUUCAAUUCUCAGUAUCUCCA